CCUGUAAUAUUUUGGUCUCUGGGUAAAAAUGUAAAAUAUAAAAAAAUUGCAUUCUUUUCCCAAUAAAAUGAUAAUUAGUAAAUCCAGAUCAUUUUGUAAUCCAGCAUAAGGAUCAUUUUGUAAUUUAAAGAAAUAAAGAUACGGGAUUUCGAAUUUUCUCAUUUGCUCCUCCUCCUCCUCCCUCUUCUAUUGUUACUGUUUUUGUCGGAACGCAAUACUCCUUUUUUUUCUUUCUUCUUCUUCUUCUUCUUCUUUACGCAUCGCCCAGAAUCGUAGUCGACGGAGCUAGAUUAAUUGGGAAGCAAAGAAGAGGAAGCUAUUCGCCCAAACGGUUCCAACGGGGAACAAUCGGUGCGAGUUGGACUCGACGGAAGAAAAAUAAGUAAUCGUGACUUCUUUUCUUCGGUUCAUGACUAGUUGGGAAUUAUUUUUUCGAUUCUUGGAGUUGACCAAUAUCCAACAACUGAGUUUCUUUAGUUUGUUAUUUAGAUUGAGUAUUGUGGAGAUGUGGAUGACGGUAACCUGAGCUGAUGAAAACGGGCCAAAACGAUAAUAGGAGGAGGAGAAAGAGGGAUAAAAUCCGAUGGAGUAAGAUCUAUGCUUCCGAUGGAGUAAUGAGAAGAAAUCGCCAAACCCUAGCUAAUUCUUAUGAAAGGGAGAAUAAGAAAUAAG
rnacentral:lncRNA from 1 species